rnacentral:rRNA from 1 species
UGGGCUCGAAAUGUAGUGGAAUGAGGUAGAAAUAUCUCCGUCUCGCAAGAGACUGCUAUAUAGGUGCUGCAUGGCUGUCGUCAGCUCGUGUCGUGAGAUGUUGGGUUAAGUCCCGCAACGAGCGCAACCCUUAUCUUUAGUUGCCAUCAGGUCAAGCUGGGCACUCUAACGAAACCGCCUCGGAUAACGGGGAGGAAGGUGGGGAUGACGUCAAGUCCUCAUGGACUUUA